AUCGUUUUUAAAGUUAAUAAAAAGAUUAGAACAAAAAAAAAAUCUGUUCUUAUCAGUUUAAUAUCUGAUACGUCCCCUAUCUGGGGACCAUAUAUUAAAUUGAUUUUUGGAACAGGGAGAUGGAAUAGGGGCUUGCUCCAUCCACUCCACGCAUCGACCUGGUAUUGCAGUACUUCCAGGAGCGGUGCACUUUCU